AACGAACGCUGGCGGCAUGCCUAACACAUGCAAGUCGAACGAGACCUUCGGGUCUAGUGGCGCACGGGUGCGUAACGCGUGGGAACCUGCCCUUAGGUUCGGAAUAACUCCCCGAAAGGGGUGCUAAUACCGGAUAAUGUCUUCGGACCAAAGAUUUAUCGCCUUUGGAUGGGCCCGCGUUGGAUUAGCUAGUUGGUAGGGUAAAAGCCUACCAAGGCGACGAUCCAUAGCUGGUCUGAGAGGAUGAUCAGCCACACUGGGACUGAGACACGGCCCAGACCCCUACGGGAGGCAGCAGUGGGGAAUAUUGGACAAUGGGCGAAAGCCUGAUCCAGCAAUGACGCGUGAGUGAUGAAGGCCUUAGGGUUGUAAAGCUCUUUUACCCGGGAUGAUAAUGACAGUACCGGGAGAAUAAGCUCCGGCUAACUCCGUG
rnacentral:rRNA from 1 species